rnacentral:lncRNA from 10 species
GCGGCUCGGGUCAGGUCGGUCCCCGCGGGAGGACAGGCGCGACCCGUCCCUCAGGACCGACGGCGUGUGGCUGCGGGGGCAACCCUAUUUUUCUCUUAUCCCCAUUUUCUUUUCUUAAAAAAUAGUGUAUUGGACAUAUUAUGUGUUUUGAAACAAAGUAGAAUACAAAUAAACAAAUAAGUCGACUUUCUGUCCAAACAAGACAGCAUGAAAAGCAGGAACUUGGUGGUGGUAUGACGUUUCAAUGAACCAAAGAGGCUCUGAUUACCGUCUGUAGACACCCACGGCACAAUUAUUAAGUUCAUUAGACAGAGAGGAAUCUGGAUUCAGCUGUGACAGGUGUAUUCCACGGACCACUACAUUAAUUUUUCUCUUCUAUUGCAGCUUUUUAUAGUCUUCAACAACAACCAGUCCCUACAUUUAAGAAGGUUAAUAACUGAGACAGCCUUCCUGGUGGAUCCAUCAUUUGGCCCAGCUUGUAGAAAGAUUCCCAACUAGCUCUAAUUAGUUCCAUCUUAUUUGGAGGCAGGAAAGAUUGUACUUUGAGUCUUUAUUUCUGUUCCCAUCUGAAGUGCCCUAGGUACCAGGGAGAAAGAAGACGAAGAAGGACAUAUACCAGAAGCACAUUAAUAGGCUGCUGAAAAACUCUGCCACACUUUCAGAUGACAGGUCACCUACAGAUAAAUGAUUCAAGGAUCAACCAAGUUCUGAAGUUUUUUUUUGUUUUUUUUUUUUGGGAUAGAGUCUCACUGUGUCACCCAGGCUGGAGUGCAGUGGCGUGAUCUCAGCUCACUGCAACCUCUGCCUCCCGAGUUCAAGUGAUUCUCCUGCCUCAGCCUCCCAAGUAGCUGGGAUUAUAGGUGCCUGCCACCAGGCCUGGCUAAUUAUUUUUUGUAUUUUUAGUAGAAACAUAGUUUCACUAUGUUGGCCAGGCUGGUCUUGAACUCCUGACCUUGUGAUCCACCCGCCUCAGCCUCCCAAAGUGCUGGGAUACAGGUGUGAGCCACCAUGCCCGGCCAGUUCUUAAUACUGCCAGGAGUGCUUUAGAAGGCUGGGAAUAUGGGGCGAAAGAUUAGACACC